UAAUGUCAAAUCAUUCAUCUGAAAUCAACAAUAAAAAUCAUCAAAUGCAUGGCCUUCUGAGGCUAUAAAUUAAUUAAUAACAGAGGGAGAACUUAACGCCUAGGAUAGAAAGAACAAAGAGUGGGUGAUUCCCGGCCGGCUGGUGCAUCUUCUUUGUUCUUGUUCAUUCCCGCUUACGGUGGUGUUUUCUUGUACCCCUUCUUUUCCAAUCACAAAAGAAACAGAGAGUCAGAUCAGAGAGAUGGCACCAAGCAUGAACAGAUUCUGCGUUGUGCUGUUGGUUUUGAUCGCAUCGACGAGCUUCUUCGUGGACAAAGCUCAAGCAUCUGGAUACCAUAGUUGCAUGAAUAACUGUGAUUCAUCUUAUUUAAUUUGCUUUCACUAUUGUCUUGGUUCGGCGUUAGGCGUGAGUUACAAACUCUCGGUUGGACGAACCUUGCCAGAAAGUAACUUGAAUGCACAUUCGGAAAAUUACAAAGCACCACGAAAAGUGCAAGGAGGGGAGAAGCAUUAACUCGAAACAUUCACAUUAGAAAACUUACGAGAUUUUGAAAGCAUCGACGUUCGGAACACUAGCUAGCUCCAAACAUGCAUGCUCAUGAUUAAGUCCAUGCCUAGCUCUUCAGCAAAAAUAAAAUGAAUUAGGAAACUAUCUUGUCUCUCUAAAUAUUGUUAUUUUCUGGCUAUCCCGUGUCUCCAUUAUCACAUUGGUCAUAUAAGUAUGCAACCGAAAUAUCCAAAUUUUGGUCAUGGUUGUUGUAAUGUAUUGACUGAAAAUGUAUUAGGAGACAUGUGAGACGUAUCUAAAGACUUAAAGGUCUAGACAAAUAAAGCUCCACGUUGAGUGGUGAUGAAAAUCUCGCUUCCUAUUGGUCGAAUUAGGUUUUUUUGAGUUUUGUGAAACGAGUAUUUCGGUAAGGACACUUGGCAAUGUAUAAUUGGUUUAAAUUUGUUAAAGAAUAGGAAAAACAUUAAAAAAAUGAAGC